AACGGGUGAGUAACACGUGGGUAACCUGCCCAGAAGUAGGGGAUAACACCUGGAAACAGAUGCUAAUACCGUAUAACAGAGAAAACCGCAUGGUUUUCUUUUAAAAGAUGGCUCUGCUAUCACUUCUGGAUGGACCCGCGGCGUAUUAGCUAGUUGGUGAGGUAAAGGCUCACCAAGGCAGUGAUACGUAGCCGACCUGAGAGGGUAAUCGGCCACAUUGGGACUGAGACACGGCCCAGACUCCUACGGGAGGCAGCAGUAGGGAAUCUUCCACAAUGGACGCAAGUCUGAUGGAGCAACGCCGCGUGAGUGAAGAAGGGUUUCGGCUCGUAAAGCUCUGUUGUUAAAGAAGAACGUGGGUAAGAGUAACUGUUUACCCAGUGACGGUAUUUAACCAGAAAGCCACGGCUAACUACGUGCCAGCAGCCGCGGUAAUACGUAGGUGGCAAGCGUUAUCCGGAUUUAUUGGGCGUAAAGCGAGCGCAGGCGGUCUUUUAAGUCUAAUGUGAAAGCCUUCGGCUCAACCGAAGAAGUGCAUUGGAAACUGGGAGACUUGAGUGCAGAAGAGGACAGUGGAACUCCAUGUGUAGCGGUGAAAUGCGUAGAUAUAUGGAAGAACACCAGUGGCGAAGGCGGCUGUCUGGUCUGCAACUGACGCUGAGGCUCGAAAGCAUGGGUAGCGAACAGGAUUAGAUACCCUGGUAGUCCAUGCCGUAAACGAUGAUUACUAAGUGUUGGAAGGGUUUCCGCCCUUCAGUGCUGCAGCUAACGCAUUAAGUAAUCCGCCUGGGGAGUACGACCGCAAGGUUGAAACUCAAAAGAAUUGACGGGGGCCCGCACAAGCGGUGGAGCAUGUGGUUUAAUUCGAAGCUACGCGAAGAACCUUACCAGGUCUUGACAUCUUCUGACAGUCUAAGAGAUUAGAGGUUCCCUUCGGGGACAGAAUGACAGGUGGUGCAUGGUUGUCGUCAGCUCCUGUCCUGAGAAUUUGGGGUUAAGUCCCCCAACAAGCGCAACCCUUAUUACUAAUUUGCCACCAUUAAAUUUGGGCACUCUAUUGAAGACUGCCCGGUGACAAACCCGAGGAAGAGUGGGGGCGAACCUCAAAACAUUAAUGCCCCCUAUUAACCUGGGGGUCCCACGGGCUCCCAUAGGAAGGGGAACCCAAACCCCCGGACCCCCCGGGGUUAAGUUAUAUCUUUUAAAAACAUUCUUCAUUUUUGGAAAUGAGGGGGGGCACUCUCCUCU
rnacentral:rRNA from 1 species